UACGGGGGGGGCAAGCGUUGUUCGGAAUUACUGGGCGUAAAGGGCUCGUAGGUGGCCAACUAAGUCAGACGUGAAAUCCCCAGGCUCAACUUGGGAACUGCGUCUAAUACUGGAUGGCUUGAAUUCGGGAGAGGGAUGCAGAAUUCCAGGUGUAGCGGUGAAAUGCGUAGAUAUCUGGAGGAAUACCGGUGGCGAAGGCGGCAUCCUGGACCGAGAUUGACACUGAAAAGCGAAAGCCAGGGGAGCAAACGGG
rnacentral:rRNA from 1 species